AACGAACGCUGGCGGCAGGCUUAACACAUGCAAGUCGAGCGCCCCGCAAGGGGAGCGGCAGACGGGUGAGUAACGCGUGGGAACGUACCUUUUGGUUCGGAACAACUCCGGGAAACUGGAGCUAAUACCGGAUAAGCCCUAACGGGGAAAGAUUUAUCGCCGAAAGAUCGGCCCGCGUCUGAUUAGCUAGUUGGUGAGGUAACGGCUCACCAAGGCGACGAUCAGUAGCUGGUCUGAGAGGAUGAUCAGCCACACUGGGACUGAGACACGGCCCAGACUCCUACGGGAGGCAGCAGUGGGGAAUAUUGGACAAUGGGCGCAAGCCUGAUCCAGCCAUGCCGCGUGAGUGAUGAAGGCCUUAGGGUUGUAAAGCUCUUUUGUCCGGGAAGAUAAUGACUGUACCGGAAGAAUAGCCCCGGCUAACUUCGUG
rnacentral:rRNA from 1 species